GUUGUAUAGUCAAGUAAUUAAGUGCAUGUGGUGGAUGCCUUGGCAGUCAGAGGCGAUGAAAGACGUGAUAGCCUGCGAAAAGCUCCGGGGAGGCGGCAAAUAUCCUUUGAUCCGGAGAUGUCUGAAUGGGGGAACCCACCUACUUUAAGGUAGGUAUUGCAACAUGAAUACAUAGUGUUGCAAGGCGAACGAGGGGAAGUGAAACAUCUCAGUACCCUUAGGAAAAGAAAUCAAUUGAGAUUCCCUCAGUAGCGGCGAGCGAACGGGGAUCAGCCCAUUAAGUUAUGUGUGUUUUAGUGGAACGCUCUGGGAAGUGCGAACGUAGAGGGUGAUAUUCCCGUACACGAAAGGGCACACAUAAUGAUGACGAGUAGGGCGAGGCACGUGAAACCUUGUCUGAAUAUGGGGGGACCAUCCUCCAAGGCUAAAUACUCCUGACUGACCGAUAGUGAACCAGUACCGUGAGGGAAAGGCGAAAAGAACCCCUGUGAGGGGAGUGAAAUAGAUCCUGAAACCGCAUGCAUACAAGCAGUGGGAGCACCUUCGUGGUGUGACUGCGUACCUUUUGUAUAAUGGGUCAGCGACUUAUAUUCAGUAGCAAGGUUAACCGUAUAGGGGAGCCGUAGAGAAAUCGAGUCUUAAUAGGGCGUUUAGUUGCUGGGUAUAGACCCGAAACCAGGCGAUCUAUCCAUGAGCAGGUUGAAGGUUGGGUAACACUAACUGGAGGACCGAACCCACUGUCGUUGAAAAGCCAGGGGAUGACUUGUGGAUAGGGGUGAAAGGCUAAUCAAGCCUGGUGAUAGCUGGUUCUCCCCGAAAGCUAUUUAGGUAGCGCCUCGGACGAAUACCAUAGGGGGUAGAGCACUGUUUCGGCUAGGGGGUCAUCCCGACUUACCAAACCGAUGCAAACUCCGAAUACCUAUGAGUACUAUCCGGGAGACAGACUGCGGGUGCUAACGUCCGUAGUCAAGAGGAAAACAAUCCAGACCGCCAGCUAAGGCCCCAAAAUCAUAGUUAAGUGGGAAACGAUGUGGGAAGGCAUAGACAGCUAGGAGGUUGGCUUAGAAGCAGCCACCCUUUAAAGAAAGCGUAAUAGCUCACUAGUCGAGUCGGCCUGCGCGGAAGAUGUAACGGGGCUAAAACUAUGUGCCGAAGCUGCGGAUNNNAUGCUGGAGGUAUCAGAAGUGCGAAUGCUGACGUGAGUAACGACAAAACGGGUGAAAAACCCGUUCGCCGAAAGACCAAGGGUUCCAGUCCAACGUUAAUCGGGGCUGGGUGAGUCGACCCCUAAGGCGAGGCCGAAAGGCGUAGUCGAUGGGAAAAUGGUUAAUAUUCCAUUACUUCUGUGUAAUGCGAUGAGAGGACGGAGAAGGCUAAAUCAGCCUGGCGUUGGUUGUCCAGGUGAAAGGAUGUAGGCAUGUAUCUUAGGCAAAUCCGGGGUACUCUAUGCUGAGAUCUGAUAGCAAGCUGUACUUGUACAGCGAAGUGGUUGAUGCCAUGCUUCCAGGAAAAGUCUCUAAGCUUCAGUUACACAGGAAUCGUACCCGAAACCGACACAGGUGGUCAGGUCGAGUAGACCAAGGCGCUUGAGAGAACUCUGCUGAAGGAACUAGGCAAAAUGGUACCGUAACUUCGGGAGAAGGUACGCUGUUGUUGGUGAUGGAACUCGCUUCCUGAGCUGACGACAGCCGCAGAAACCAGGCCGCUGCAACUGUUUAUUAAAAACAUAGCACUCUGCAAACACGAAAGUGGACGUAUAGGGUGUGAUGCCUGCCCGGUGCUGGAAGGUUAAUUGAUGGGGUUAGCGUAAGCGAAGCUCUUGAUCGAAGCCCCAGUAAACGGCGGCCGUAACUAUAACGGUCCUAAGGUAGCGAAAUUCCUUGUCGGGUAAGUUCCGACCUGCACGAAUGGCAUAAUGAUGGCGGCGCUGUCUCCAGCAGAGGCUCAGUGAAAUCGAAAUCGCUGUGAAGAUGCAGUGUACCCGCGGCUAGACGGAAAGACCCCGUGAACCUUUACUGCAGCUUGACACUGAACUUUGACCUUACUUGUGUAGGAUAGGUGGGAGGCUUUGAAGCUGGAACGCUAGUUCCAGUGGAGCCGUCCUUGAAAUACCACCCUGGUAAUGUUGAGGUUCUAACUCUGUCCCGUGAUCCGGGACGAGGACCGUGUCUGGUGGGUAGUUUGACUGGGGCGGUCUCCUCCUAAAGAGUAACGGAGGAGUACGAAGGUGCGCUCAGCGUGGUCGGAAAUCACGCGUAGAGUAUAAAGGCAAAAGCGCGCUUAACUGCGAGACCCACAAGUCGAGCAGGUACGAAAGUAGGUCUUAGUGAUCCGGUGGUUCUGUAUGGAAGGGCCAUCGCUCAACGGAUAAAAGGUACUCUGGGGAUAACAGGCUGAUACCGCCCAAGAGUUCAUAUCGACGGCGGUGUUUGGCACCUCGAUGUCGGCUCAUCUCAUCCUGGGGCUGAAGCAGGUCCCAAGGGUAUGGCUGUUCGCCAUUUAAAGAGGUACGCGAGCUGGGUUUAGAACGUCGUGAGACAGUUCGGUCCCUAUCUACCGUGGGCGCUGGAAAUUUGAGAGGAUCUGCUCCUAGUACGAGAGGACCAGAGUGGACGAACCUCUGGUGUACCGGUUGUGACGCCAGUCGCAUCGCCGGGUAGCUAUGUUCGGAAGGGAUAACCGCUGAAAGCAUCUAAGCGGGAAGCCUACCUCAAGAUAAGAUUUCCCUAGGACUUUAUGUCCUCUAAAGAGCCGUUCGAGACUAGGACGUUGAUAGGUUGGAUGUGGAAGCAUAGUGAUAUGUGAAGCUGACCAAUACUAAUUGCUCGUGAGGCUUGACUAUACAACACCCAAGCAGUUG
rnacentral:rRNA from 1 species